CGACCAUGCCUCUCUUUUUCAUCAUCGUAAACGCAAAAUCAUACUGGAAUAGGAAGAGUUAUUUUGGUUUCUUCUUCAUCACUAUUCUUUUGAACAUCCAUUAUAUGGCAUCUAAACUAGACUGGAAAACCUAGACAUCAACUGGAUCAUCCAUAGCCAACACAACCAGCAGGUGUUUUUUUCAUACGCUCACAAUAUCUCCUUCUUAGUUCUCUUUCUUUACCCCUUUUGGAAUCUAUCCAGAAAAGCUUCAAAAAAUCAAGAUACAACCUUAAUAAUGAAAUCACAGUACCUUUUUUCUCUUCCUUAAAUCAAUGAAUAUCGAUUUCUCCUCCCACUCCUUCAUGAAUCGGCACCAGAUAAUCCUAGCCAGGAAAACCUUUUAAUCCUUCACGAUGGUUGGUAAAAAAUACGAGCAUAGUCACAAAUCGUCUUCUUUUAAAAUCGAGCAUAACUCCUUUUGGUGUUGGUUCAUCUUCUCAAAGUCGAUCAUAAAUCGAGCACAACUCGUCUUCUCAAAAUGAUAAUGAUUUGUAGUUGUUUCAUAUCAAGAUGAAGGUGGGUAUUAGCAUGAGGUUAUUGUUGUCAUAAAGGGUAGUCAUUGUGUAGGUUAUUUUUUGGGUGUAUUCUUUAUCGUGUAUGCUUAACAGGUGCAAUUUCUUUUGGUUCUUGUAUUUGUUGUAGCAUUAACAACCAAGAUUCAUGUGUGUUUGCUUUCAAUUCAUUAAAAAGUGGUUAAUCUUAGUAAUACAUAUGUGUGUUCAGACUAAAUAAGAUUGGGGAUCGUUCCUCUGUGGGUUCAAUUUAGAAUAAUUUUAUUGAGCUUUUGUGUAAUCCAGUUUAUAGUUUAUAGUCAGAGGUUUCCCUGACACCA